GUGUGCGUCUGGCUGAAUGCUGAUCGCUGAGCUGAGAACUCGACGAAGCCGAAAGUAAUUCUACUCAUAGACAGCCAAAAACAAAAACACAACAAUACAACAACAAGUAAAACAAUACAAUAAUACAACAGCAAAAGCAACAAUAACAAACACAACAACUUGCUACAAAAACAAAAGAAAAGACAAUAAAAUAAAACAUAAAUGCGCUGAGACAGUUUUUGGCCGGCAGCCGCAUCGAUGACGUAGCCGUCGUCGUGCGAUACACGAGACAAGUCGUCAGACGAGGCGUAUGCGGUUUUGUUGAUGAGGUUAUUAAGUCAUCAGUGACAGCAGUUUUGGUGGCGACGUUGCGUGCUCUAUUCGCAGCUUUUAACCCUGCGGGAAUAACGCCCGGUCAUAUCGACCCGAAAGGUAAAUAGCAAACGGCUUUAUAUAAUAAACAAUCAGACAACGAAGCUUUACCAUACUACUCAAGGCAGCCAAGGGGUAUGGAAAAAUGAAGAUGAAAUCAUCUCAACAAGUGAAGAGAAGGUCUUCCCUCCCAAGAUAACCCGUUAUGAAAAGGGCACUCUUUACAAAGAAGUUUAAAGUUAACCUCGCCAUUAAAGAUGACUACAAAGAUUCCACUCGUGAUCUACUGAGGGGCUGAACAUCAGUUUGCCAGCAUGUACAAAUCCUCUGGGUGCUUGAGCAUAAAAGUGUACUAGGCAACUAUGUAAGAUGGUGGAACCAUAACCUGGUGGGGUCACACACCAUAAAGGAACUGCCUCGCAAUGAGAUAUGGCAAACCUCUUCAGAGACGAAUUCCGUCUAUUAGUCGCAUUCUACACUCACCACCACAGGCUCAAGAAGCCACUGUCUAAUAUGGGCAUAAGCUCUUUUGCAAACUGCCGGUUUAGCAAUAGAUCUUAAUGGGUUACAUGGGUUUACGGGUUUCAAAAAAUCGAUUUUUUAUUGCCGUUUUUAAAUGCCUUUUUCUCGAAACUGUAGUUUUGAAGCAGGUUGACAAGAUUUCUCGAGAACUACUUAACCGAUCUUCAUGAAAUUUUAUAAAGGUUUUUGAGAUACAAUUCUUAAAGACUUGGACGAAGGAUUUUUUUUUGAUUAGAAAUAUUUGAAAAUAAUUUUUGAAAAGAGACUGUUUUUUACCCGCAGAAACCCUAGUAAUCCCUUAAGUUGCAGUGCAAAUUUCAAUUAAAUUCUUCUUUAUUCACAAUAUCAAACCUAGAUCCCAAAUAGAGAUGUUUACAGCUAUUAAAAUCAGUUUUCAUCUAAGGAGGAUCAGACAAAUUCUUUUUUGAAUGAAACAAAGUCAAUGCUCAAAUUUCAGCUUUAUGGAAACUGUUAAUGCGUGCUUUAGCACGCCGAGUACGCAUUGCUCCAUUAGUGAGAAAAAAGACAAAGUUGAUUUGAGGUCGUUAAACAAAUUGAUAAUUGGAAGAUUAAAAUCAUAAAUGGAAUUAUUUACAAACCGAUAAUUCGGCUAAACUGAAAACAACCAGUACAUUCUGCGUCGAAAGUAUGUGUACAUGAGAAUUGAAAGCCGCCUCAACCCAAUGACAAUAGCAUCAACUUACACUAUGGGUACUUGAAAGUUUUGGAAAGAAAAAUUGCUUCGAAUAAAUAAUUUAGAAAAUGGCUGCAGAAGAAAUUCGGAAAGACUGGUUAGACAAUAAUUAAAUUACGAUUCGAUUAACUUCUGUUAUAUCAGAAAUUCCCAAAAACGUGGAGCAUAUAAAGAAUUCAAAUUAUGGAGAAAGUGCACUCAGACUUUCUGGCUAUGGCGUCUUAACAAAACCAGUAUAUCUUUAUAUCACAUUCUCCGCAAUAUUUCCAUAAAAAUUCCUCAAACUUCAAAUGAUCUUAGAGUUAAAAUCUUAAGGUCAAAGUUCUGCGGCAUUUUUGACAACAUUUCGGUCAUACGACAAAAGCAUUCGCCCUAAAAGUAAAAUUUUAGUAAAAUUCAAAUCUCGCUUCUAAAAAACCUGAAAGAACAUUUUCUAAAAAAUUCAAACAAAGAAGUCCUUCUUCAACAAAAUCGACAGUACGCCGACCUGAUUUCGGACGCAGUGCGGACACGAUCCGGGAGCCAUUCUCAGAGGAGCUUUAACACCUUACCGACUUCAUCUGAGUGAAUGGCCCACUUAGAGUCAAAGCACCACCAAAUGCUGACGAAGACCUGGAGUUACCACAAGAAUCUAAAGUGACCCUUGCGCAACUUCGUUUUGGUUUCGGUAGCAGGUUAAACUCCUACUUAUCCAGAAUCGACCAUAUACUUAUAUGUAUGUACGUCCAGCAUACAAAGGAUCCCUCUGAACAACCUUCUCUCUAUGGUCAGAACCCGUCGAAACAGCUUUUUCGUGAACCUACCGCUAUCGAAUCGUAAAUCGUCAGAUACGUUUUUGUAGAAUAUUCCAUUUCCUAUAAAAUCUAUGUAACCCGAUAUUUUACCAGUUCUUGAAAACUUCUGUUGCAAUUAAAAGCUCACACUUGGAGUUAUUUUCUUAGAAGUGACUAAGAACCUAUUUUUCAGAGACCAAGCAAGUGAAAACAAUCGUUUUUUUAUCCACUCUACACAUGAACUGAAUCCAUUAUACUUUUUUUUUUACUUUUUGUUAAGGCACAACAAUGCCGGUCCACCCACUAGCCUGUGCCGGCUGAUUCCAUGUGACAAUUUGACAGCUUUAGUGUCAGUCAUUAUCAAUAUUCUAAUGACAUGACAGCCCGGCAAUUCUUCACAGGCAUAUAAGAGUGCAGGUAUGUAUGUAUGUACAUAUGUGCAUGUGGACGGCUUUGUGUGUGUGCGUGUGGAUGCACCACCCUCACUGUUAUAUUCACACAGUUUCCACUUUGUUGUACAUUUUUGCCUAAUAAAUCACUGGUGCACGAAUAUCGGUGAGCACUGGCAGUGUCAACUCUUAUAACAACAAUAACAAAAAAUAAACUAAACAUUACAACAAACACAUGGAGGCUUGAAGACAGCACUUGAUUCUAAAUAUAGCUGCGGAUCUAAGCGGAUCUCCACGAAGCAAAAAGCGAUUGCGAAUAUAAAUUAAAUCACAAGGUGAACGCGAGAAAAAAUUAUAUAAUUAAAAGUCAGAAACAACAAAUUAUGACGUAUGUAUGUUGUUUAUGAGGUGACACACCGCCAGCAAUGGGUAAAAAAUAACGUUCAUAGAAGACUCAAAGAACGCAACGUCACUUAUGCCAACAUACAUACAUACAUACAAAGCCUGUGGAAUUCCAGCAAAUUAAACCGAAUUUCUGAAUAGUAACUGCAUUUUGUUUAUUUGCUUUGGCUUCAAGCUGGUUGUUGUUCAUUCAUACUGUUAACUCUAAUGAGUCACUAACCAGUCAACAAGUCACAAACUACUCCAUCCAUUGAGAAUAAUCGUUGAUACUUAACAAACGACUGUUACUUUUUGAAAUGUAAAUUAGUCUAUUAUAAAUCAUCCGCAGCAAAAAGCUGCAAAAACGUAAAUUAAACGAUUAAUAAAAGUGGUUUUUAACAGCAAAAGAUGCUGCGGGAUCGGCUAGCGCUUUUGAACGAGGCGUUAUAAGCUGGCGCUUACACCUGGCUUCACAUGACUCGAAGGUCAAAGGCAGUAUAGAGCAUUUUUAGAUUGUUUAUCUUAUAAGUUUCACUAUCAUAGACUUUAAUGUUAAGUUCGAAACUGCACAACUUCGUUCAGUUAAUAAGAAUUGGAACAAUAAAGUAACCCAUAAACUAAAAUUAAUAGUAAAUUGACAUCCACAGUUCUUCGUAGGCUUAAACAUGGAGUUCUUAGACCACACUUUCAACACUAUAAGGAACAAAUAUCACUAAUUGAAACAAAAACAUGCAUUUAAGUCAUUCGCAGCAACAGUCAGGCCAGACUGACCGGCUAUUUCAAUCCUUGAUCGUGUUUUUCUAGUAACAUCGUUUGCAAAGUCGGUGGUCACGAUUUAUCAAAAACUAGUGAAGCGAUCUUAUUGAAAAUUUUCACAGUUCUUCCAAAUAGAAUGACUUCGUGAUUGAUCUCCGGGUUUUAUGUUUCGAUUUCAAAAAAAUUUUUAAGGCAACUUGUGGUGAAAAAUAAACCUAAAAUCAUACUGUUUUGUAUCCAACUUUGCCAAAAUUUAUUAUUUUUUUUUCAAAUCCAACGAUUAAUCACAAACUUUACUCAUCUACUAACCGCUGAA